rnacentral:rRNA from 1 species
GACGAACGUUGGCGGCGUGCUUAAUACAUGCAAGUCAACUGAAGCAGUGGUAGCAAUAUCGCUGUGGAGGUGGCGCACGGGUGAGUAACACGUAGGUAAUCUGCCUUCAGGUCUGGCAUAACUCCGGGAAACCGGGGCUAAUAGCAGAUGAUGCAGCGGCUCGACAUCGAGACAGUUGUUAAAGCUAUGGCGCCUGAAGAUGAGCCUGCGUCUGAUUAGCUAGUUGGCGGGGUAACGGCCCACCAAGGCAACGAUCAGUAGCUGGUCUGAGAGGAUGAUCAGCCACACUGGAACUGAGACACGGUCCAGACUCCUACGGGAGGCAGCAGUAAGGAAUAUUGCUCAAUGGGAGAAAUCCUGAAGCAGCAACGCCGCGUGAGGGACGAAGGGCUUUUGCUUGUAAACCUCUGUAGUGAGAGAAAAAAAUCCCAAUCUUUGGGACAUGAUGGCAUCUCAAAAGUAAGCCCCGGCUAACUACGUG